AGCGAACGCUGGCGGCAGGCCUAACACAUGCAAGUCGAACGAACUCUUCGGAGUUAGUGGCGGACGGGUGAGAAACACGUGGGAACGUGCCUUUUGGUUGGGAAUAACUCAGGGAAACUUGUGCUAAUACCGAAUGGGCCCUUCGGGGGAAAGAUUUAUCGCCAUUAGAGCGGCCCGCGUCUGAUUAGCUAGUUGGUGAGGUAACGGCUCACCAAGGCGACGAUCAGUAGCUGGUCUGAGAGGAUGACCAGCCACACUGGGACUGAGACACGGCCCAGACUCCUACGGGAGGCAGCAGUGGGGAAUCUUGCGCAAUGGGCGAAAGCCUGACGCAGCCAUGCCGCGUGAAUGAUGAAGGUCUUAGGAUUGUAAAAUUCUUUCACCGGGGACGAUAAUGACGGUACCCGGAGAAGAAGCCCCGGCUAACUUCGUG
rnacentral:rRNA from 1 species